rnacentral:rRNA from 1 species
UACGAAGGGUGCGAGCGUUGUCCGGAAUCACUGGGCGUAAAGGGCGCGUAGGCGGCUCAUGAAGGCUGUGGUGAAAGUCCGGGGCUCAACCUCGGAUCGGCCGUGGCGACUCGUGGGCUGGAGCACUGUAGAGGCGGGUGGAAUUCCGGGUGUAGCGGUGGAAUGCGUAGAGAUCCGGAAGAACACCAGUGGCGAAGGCGGCCCGCUGGGCAGUGGCUGACGCUGAGGCGCGACAGCGUGGGGAGCAAACAGG